rnacentral:rRNA from 1 species
GUGUCAGCAGCCGCGGUAAUACGAGUGCCCCAAGCGUUAUCCGGAAUUAUUGGGCGUAAAGGGUGUGUAGGUGGUUGUGUUAGUCUUCUGUUAAAUUCUUCGGCUUAACCGGGGUCCUGCAGAGGAAACGGCACGACUAGAGUGUGCGAGGGGUGAAUGGAACUCAUGGAGUAGGGGUGAAAUCCGUUGAUAUCAUGGGGAACACCAAAAGCGAAGGCAAUUCACUGGCGCAUUACUGACACUGAAACACGAAAGCGUGGGUAGCGAACGGGAUUAGAUACCCUAGUAGUCC